rnacentral:rRNA from 1 species
GAGUUUGAUCGUGGCUCAGGACGAACGCUGGCGGCGCGCCUAAUACAUGCAAGUCGAGCGAGAACCGGGGCUUCGGCCCCGGGGAGAGCGGCGAACGGGUGCGUAUCACGUGAGCAACCUGCCUCGGAGACCGGAAUAACUCGAGGAAACUCGGGCUAAUGCCGGAUGCCCUCGAUGGACCGCAUGGUCCGGCGAGGAAAUGGAUUCCGCUCCGAGAUGGGCCCGCGGCCUAUCAGCUUGUUGGUGGGGUAACGCCUACCAAGGCGACGACGGGUAGCUGGUCUGAGAGGACGAUCAGCCACACUGGGACUGAGACACGGCCCAGACUCCUACGGGAGGCAGCAGUAGGGAAUCUUGCGCAAUGGGGGAAACCCUGACGCAGCGACGCCGCGUGCGGGAUGAAGGCCUUCGGGUCGUAAACCGCUUUCAGCAGGGACGAAAUUGACGGUACCUGCAGAAGAAGGCCCGGCCAACUACGUGCCAGCAGCCGCCGCUGUAAU